GAUGAACGCUAGCGGCAGGCUUAAUACAUGCAAGUCGUGGGGCAGCAGGUUUGUAGCAAUACAGAUGCUGGCGACCGGCAAACGGGUGCGGAACACGUACAGAACCUUCCUUUGAGCGGGGAAUAGCCCAGAGAAAUUUGGAUUAACUACCCCAUAGUAUAAUGAAGUGGCAUCACUUUAUUAUUAAAGAUUUAUCACUCGAAGAUGGCUGUGCGGCUGAUUAGGUAGUUGGCGGGGUAAAGGCCCACCAAGCCUGCGAUCAGUAACUGGUGUGAGAGCACGACCAGUCACACGGGCACUGAGACACGGGCCCGACUCCUACGGGAGGCAGCAGUAAGGAAUAUUGGUCAAUGGAGGCAACUCUGAACCAGCCAUGCCGCGUGGAGGAUGAAGGUCCUCUGGAUUGUAACUUCUUUUAUAUGGGAACGAAAAGGCUUUUACUAAGUCGUCUGACGGUACCAUAUGAAUAAG
rnacentral:rRNA from 1 species